GGGUGAUGUACUUUUAUUUUAGUCCUACUUGACUGCACUUGAACCUAUGCUCUGAAUUUAUGUGUUUACUUUAUAACUCGUCCUGUUAUUCUAGUAGGUUAUUCUACUAGAGUUUGGUUUGAAUUCCUUCUUAUGUUUGUUAUUGUUUCGCUUCCGUGUCGCACUUAUGGUUACGUCACGCUCGCGUGACGGCCAGCAUGCCUGGAUCCUCUGGAUCGGGGUGUGUCAACCAAUCUACAUAAUCACUCUUUAAUUGGAUGCAAACUUCUCUUAUCUUUCUUUGGUAUCCAAUGAAACAUAAUAUGUUGUUUUCGUAAUUCUCUUAGCUUUAAAUAGUUUACUGCUCGGUCAAAGAUUUGUACUUAACAUUUGGAUCUGAAAGAGAGUAUAUUGUGGUGAGAUUUUAUACUUUUCUUUAAUGGCCUCUUCCUUCCACUUAUGAUGAAAGUGCUCCUUUUUUUGUCUUUGCAAAACAGAAAAUAAAAAAGUUUAUAAAAAUGAAAUCAAUUAAGUUAAAUAUUAAGUUAUAUCUCCAAUCAUGAUAUGAUCUAGAGUUCUUAAGAUUUUUCAAUGCGAGUACGAGAUUAAGAGUCCAGGCGAAGUGGAAGACGAUAUUAUUUUUACUUAAGGUAAGGUUUUCUUAUUAUUGUUUUUUCUUAUUUGGAAAAGUCCGUUUGAUUUUCUUUUUCUAUGUAGUUUUUAAAUUACUUAUGCAUUUUUAAUUGUAUCUGUUUUGGCCAUAUUCUGUAUUCAAUUUUUAUCAUAUACUCUGCACUGCAUUUUUCAUUACAAUUGCUUAAAGGGUAAACCCCCAUGAUGUGGUAAAGGAGGAUGUUUAGGGAAACAGUGAGUGGAGAUUCCCUGGCAGAGACCAGAGAGAUCCCAAUGAGGUAAUACCUUCACGUUCGGUUCGGUAAGAUAUGUUGUCAGGACUAAGAAGCAACCAAUUAAACAAUCUCAGUUUACUCAAACCAUACAAAGUACAUACUCUCUGCACCCAAACCUGCUAAAAUUUGCCUUAUUUUUUUUUGUUUUUGUAAAUUUUUGAGUGAAUGAAUUAACAAAUUUCUUUUAUUUUUGGGUUUGAAUCCGUGCUGACAUAAUCAAUCAAUGGUAUUCUUUUCUGUUUUCUUUUGUUUUUUUAAUUCAAUAGGAUUUAAUUUUUUAUUGCUUUUGGCUAAUUUGUGUUUUAUACAAUUUCGCUAAUUUUGUUUACUUGUAUCAUUUUUCUCUAGGCUAAUUUUUUACAGGUAUAUUUUUCUAUGUUUUAUGAGCUUUCGGUAAGUUUUCUAUAGAUCACCAUUUGCAAAUUUCUUAAUGACAAAUAUUUUUCCAAAGGUACUUCCUCCCCUUCUCUCCUUGUUUGUUGUUUUUUUGUCACAUAUCUUCAUUUGGUGAUAGGAAUAAAUUUAUAUCCCCUUAUGAAAAUUGAAUCAUACAAUUGUUGCUUCUUUGUUCUUUAACUUGGAAAGUUGUAAUUUUCUUUGGAUCUUCUUCAUAUGUUUGUAAUGUGACAGGAAAAGAACCACAAUUAAAACUACGAACAAUGGAAAUCUGAAGCAUGAAGUGCAAACAAAUCAGUGGAAAUGUGGCAUUCAUGUUAACAAACUUUAUGGUCUUCAAUCUUGAUAAUAUAUGUACAUAUUGAAAUCCAUUCUUCAUAUAUUCACUUAUAUUUGUUGUCUCUUGGCAUAUGUAUACUUCAUUUUUUGGUAUUAGUCAUUUUGUUUGAUUCAUAUUUCAAUUUUGUAAAUAGCAAAAAUAUCUUAGUAAAUGAAAAUAUUAAAAAUAAAAUAAAAGAUUGUAAGUUGCGCCUAGUGUAGUAAUUAACAUUUGUAAGUCAUGCGAACCACUUCUGAUUAUAGGUCUUUAAUUCAUGUACCAAUUGAUAACAAUAAUAAACAACUAACACAACACAUUUUAGGGGCGCGUAGCGCCCUUGAUUAAAAAAAUGCCUCUUGCAACACUGUUAUUAUGGUAAUUUCAAUGCAAGCCACCUUCUGUAGCAUAGUUCAUUUCCAAAUCCCUACUACUUUUGACACACCCCGAUCCUAGAAUCAAGGCGUGCUGGCCGUCAAGUGAGUGUGACGUAGCCAAAAGUGCGACACGGAAGCAAGAUAUAACAGAAAUAUGAAGGAAUUUAAACCAACCACUAGCAGCAUAACCUACUAGCAUACAAGAGAGAGUUAUAAAGUAAAACACACGAAUUCAGAGCGUAGGUAUAAGUGCAGU
rnacentral:lncRNA from 1 species